CUUAAGCGUGAGCAAACCCUAAUCCAACGGUCGUUUCAAAGCGCUGACCUUUGCGGUGCGGGUCUUGCUGCUUCGCCGAGUAGGCUCAUGGUCUCAUCAUCGUCUCCGACGUGAAGUUGAGGAAGGUCUGGAUGCUCGAGCUUUUCUCUCCCUAGCGCCUUGUACCCUUGAGACCCGUUCGAGAGGACGAGAUCACCGCCAUGGUUGAGUCCAUCUUCAAGGACUGCACAAAUCCUGGAUAAGUAGAAUCAAGAGAAAACGCCAGAACCCAACAACUAGAAGUCGAUCUGGAUUUCUACGGACCACUAUCCAAGGACCGAACUCGUUCCCCAUCGGUACUUCCAUUGGCCUUCCGUUCUUUGCAGCAGGAUGAAUUCACGGCGGUUUAUCUUGUGGCGAUGGUGCCGGAUUUGCAAUUUGCGUUACAUUAAUGAGACAGAUCCAUUAGUUCCAUUUCCGCUUUUUCCCCAAUUUCCCACGCCUUCUGCGAGGCAAAACCUCGCCAUAGUACACUUCGACACAAGAGAAGAGGACCGGGAAUAGCGAAUGCAGGCACAAGAGAAAGGGUAAUUUACCUUCUGGGAUGAAUUCUGACAGCUCUUGCCGAAAUCUAGUAUAGCCAUGAGCCUAGAUAGAAUGGGCGGGGGAAGAAAAACUAGGAGCGAGCUACAAAAUAGGGGGUUGCCAAAGGCCAUCUCAAUAGAGCCAUUUUGUCAUUGAAUCGAUGGAGGGAAGACUCCUUCGGUUGUGACUGGGCUGGAGUUUGUUCCUUCGUACGCAAAAGCAUCAUUGUUUUAGCAGUCAGUUGAGGAAGAUAGUGACGAGGAGCUGGAAUUUGCUGACAAUAAUGGUGGUAUUGUUAACUCUUCAUGAAACUUCUGACUUCCCAGUGUGUUUUUUCACUUUUUUAGUUAUUAAUACUAUCGGGAUUACAAUUACUGCAAAAGAUAGUAAAUUAAUCCUAUUGGUGGCUGAUAGUGCAAAGAAAAAUAAGGGUCAGGGACCUUUUUUUCACUUCUGUUAAUAAAAGGUGAAACAUGAGUUGGCUUGUAAUUACUGUAAAAGCCAAUCUUAGCCAUUUUCCACCUUUAAGUGGGUGGCUAAUUGACAUAGUUUCACUGCUUGUGACAUGGCCAAUUGGUUUGAGGGAUGAUAGCAGAGAGCGAAUGCAUGGUUUUGAGGGGAUGGUAGCAUGUCCUGUUGGUUGCCGAUGUUAUGUGUUUUCCUUGUUUGACAGGGACAUGACUGCGUUGAAGCUCAACAAUAUAGUGCCUCAUUUCUCAAUGAGUUGGCCGUGAAAAUUUUCUUUGAUUCUUACAGAACAAACUUUAGGUUUCCUUCUCUGUGUGUGUGUGUGUGUUAAUGUACAAUUUGAUUUUUCUAUGUUACUACAUCUGUAUCUGUCGUCCUGAAAGUGUGAAGAAGUGUACACUCCAGCAAGCGAAAUAAAAAUGGGUAGAAAGGAAGAAUUGAGGAUAUGAUAUUUAUGUUCAACUCAAAUCGAUUGUUAAAUAAAGUUAUCCUUUCUACCACUUUGUAGAGAAUUUUCUUUUUGGCGUAAUAUGGUGCUUUUGCUUAUUUUGAUGUUGGCAUGCCAUGAUGCUUUGCCGAAACUUCAUUGUUAAGAACUUGAAUGUAUUUGGAAGAUCAACUAUGGUGUCUGCUUACUAUGGCAUCAAGGUCGGUGACUUGCAGGGUUAGCAUCAUCAAUUGAUAUUAUUUGUCACUUUUGAUGUUCUUUUUUCAUGGCAGAUACAGAGUUCUUUAAAGGUCUGGUAAGGAUAUCCUCUGGUUUUCUGCAUGUAGUUUAUGAUGCAUCAAGAGGAUCUUCCAGCUAAUAACUUCUAUACCAUCUGAUACGCAUUUAUCGAGGACAAGAAAAUGAAAAAUGAUUUUUCUAUUGAUGAUGGCUUUCCAUUUAAAUUGAUUUCCGAUUUGAUUCUUAAUCCAAUGAUACUUCCAUUUAGAUUGUUUGUAAUUGUAGUUUUAAAAACUUUCAAAUCUAAAUCAUCAAAUUCAAUCCAAUGGUUCACAAUUGUAGUGGUUUCUCCACCCACUAAGUGGAGAGAAACCACCUCCCUCGAACCACAGAUAUUCAUUGGCUUUGGCUUCUCUUUUGAUCUUUUGGUUUUAUUAUCUCUUGUGCUUUUAUAAGGAACAGAACCAUUUGAUCAUGAGAUAUCCUGAACAUGUUUUUUUCCACUUACAUUAACGAUGAAAAUCUAACCAAUGGUUCACUUGAAUCUGCAGGCUGCUAAGGAGAAUAGAACCUCUUUGCCUCCAGCAGCUUUGUUUGUUAUCAGAUAUCAUUCUUUCUAUAGUUAGAAUGUUCUCUAAGUCCUAUGUACCUGGUCAAUGUUUUCCUUUUUCGUUCUUUGUUUUUUUUUUUUUUUUGGGUGUGAUACAUUGUCAAUGUUUUCUAUUCUGCAAGCAAAUGUUUUUACAUUAACACACUAAAUUUUGCAGCUUUGCAUAAGGAAGGGGCGUACAGAUACUUGAUGAAUGAAGAAGACAUUGAGAGUCUGAAGCGGGUCAAAAUAUUCAACUUAAGCAUCACUAUCAACGGAUGCAGACUAACGGUGACAUGCGUAUUUCAAUGCCCAUACUCCCUCUGAUCCUAGUAAUCGGGCAUUUUAAAGAUCAUUCUACAUGGGUUUAAGAUCUGUAGUUUUUGAAAUUAUAAAAAUCACUUCAGGGAUCAACUAGAAAAGGUCUAUAUUAUCUGCAUUUGGUAUCUUCUACUCCGCAUUUUUGUAAUAGAGAUGUCUUAUUUGGUACAUUAUGAAUGUGGUUUAUUUUAAAGUUAUUUGCCUUUAA